rnacentral:tRNA from 1 species
GCCUUGGUGGCUCAGUAGUUAAGUGUUUGGCUGUUAACCGAAAGGUUGGCAGUUCAAAUCCACCCAGAGGCU